rnacentral:rRNA from 1 species
UACGGAGGGGGCUAGCGUUGUUCGGAAUUACUGGGCGUAAAGCGCACGUAGGCGGCUUUGUAAGCUAGAGGUGAAAGCCCGGGGCUCAACCCCGGAAUUGCCUUUAAGACUGCAUCGCUUGAACGUCGGAGAGGUGAGUGGAAUUCCGAGCGUAGAGGUGAAAUUCGUAGAUAUUCGGAAGAACACCAGUGGCGAAGGCGGCUCACUGGACGACUGUUGACGCUGAGGUACGAAAGCGUGGGGAGCAAACAGG